rnacentral:rRNA from 1 species
UUUUAUUUGAGAGUUUGAUCCUGGCUCAGGAUGAACGCUGGCGGCGUGCCUAACACAUGCAAGUUGAGCGAUUUACUUCGGUAAAGAGCGGCGGACGGGUGAGUAACGCGUGGGUAACCUACCCUGUACACACGGAUAACAUACCGAAAGGUAUGCUAAUACGGGAUAAUAUAUUUGAGAGGCAUCUCUUGAAUAUCAAAGGUGAGCCAGUACAGGAUGGACCCGCGUCUGAUUAGCUAGUUGGUAAGGUAACGGCUUACCAAGGCGACGAUCAGUAGCCGACCUGAGAGGGUGAUCGGCCACAUUGGAACUGAGACACGGUCCAAACUCCUACGGGAGGCAGCAGUGGGGAAUAUUGCACAAUGGGCGAAAGCCUGAUGCAGCAACGCCGCGUGAGUGAUGAAGGCCUUCGGGUCGUAAAACUCUGUCCUCAAGGAAGAUAAUGACGGUACUUGAGGAGGAAGCCCCGGCUAACUACGUGCCAGCAGCCGCGGUAAUACGUAGGGGGCUAGCGUUAUCCGGAUUUACUGGGCGUAAAGGGUGCGUAGGCGGUCUUUCAAGUCAGGAGUGAAAGGCUACGGCUCAACCGUAGUAAGCUCUUGAAACUGGGAGACUUGAGUGCAG